AGUGAAGAAGACACUACUGUGUUCUUCCUGAGCCCCAGUCACGGCUAUAAAACAUUAAAAGCAAACUGGCGAUUGUUAAACACUGCAUUUGUUUACACCCCGAUUCUUGAAUCACAAUGGGGCAGCUUAGGCCGCCAAGGCCCGGCGAGGCCCGGCUUUCUCCUGGACACUGGAGUCUGUUCUCCGACCCAAGGGACACAAGAAAAUUUAGAAAGUACACUAUAAUUUUGUAAAUUGAGAAGUUGCAGAAAAGAAGUAUAAUGAAGAAAGUAAUUAAUUUUACUAUUGUUGCCCAGGCUGGAGUACAGUGACAUGAUCUUGGCUCACUGCAACCUCUGCCUCCCAGUUCAAGCAAAUCUCCUGCCUCAACCUCGCAAGUAGCUGAGACUACAGGUGCCUGCCACCACACUGCGCUUUUUGUAUUUUUAGUGGAGACGAGGUUGCACCACGUUGGCCAGGCUGGUCUUUAACUGCUGACCUCAGGUGAUCCACCCCCCUUGGCCUCCCGAAAUGCUGGGAUUACAGGCGUGAACCACGGUGCCUAGUCUAUUUGUCUUAUUUCAUAUGGACUUUACAUACUACUUGUAAUAAGUACAGUCAUGAAAAUAGCAUCUCCCUACCUGUUCCACUCAUUAAUGUCAAACCCAAAAGGACCUUGAGUGAGUUUUAGGUUUAUUUGCUUAAGCCCACCCCACCCACACACAUUCACUUACCCUACUUAUAUGUGAAUAUUGCCAUUAAGAUGGCAA